rnacentral:rRNA from 1 species
GACGAACGCUGACGGCGUGCUUAACACAUGCAAGUCGAAGGGAGUGGCGAACGGGUGAGUAACACGUGAGUAACCUGCCCUUUUCUUUGGGAUAAGCCUGGGAAACUGGGUCUAAUACUGGAUGGCUUGGGAUGGGCUCGCGGCUUAUCAGCUUGUUGGUGGGGUGCUGGGUUACCAAGGCUUUGACGGGUAGACGGCCUGAGAGGGCGGUCGGUGACACUGGGACUGGGAGACGGCCCAGACUCUUACGUGGGGGAGCAGUGGGGGAAAUUGCAGAAUGGACGAAAGGCUGAUGCAGCGACGUCGUGUGGGGGAUGAAGGUCGUGGGGUUGUAAACUCCUUUCGCCCGCGGAAUGGUAGUGGGUAAAGAAGCGCCGGCUAACUACGUGCCAGCAGCCGCGGUAAUAC